GAGGGUACAGCUUAGUGGUAGAGCACAUGCCUAGCAUGCAUGAAGUCCUGGGUUCAAUCCCCAGUACCUCCA
rnacentral:tRNA from 1 species